AUCAGAGAGCCAAACACUGACGGAGAACCAAGCAUCGCACUGGAGAUCUAUCCUCGGACUACGAGGGGACGCCAUCAACAUGGUGGUUCUGAUGGAAACCUGUUUACCCAUCUGAGGUUAAAGCCUGCAGGUUGAGAACAAUGCUACUCCUGCUAGAUAUGAAGGGAACCUGACGUGUUUGCACCGAACAUGUCCAGAACUCACUAUGGACUUUAUCACAGACUGGACUGAAUCAUGAAAAACUCCAAUUGCUUGUUUAUUCUUUUUGCUAAAUAUAACUUUUAGUUAAAUUUAA